rnacentral:rRNA from 1 species
AGAUUGAACGCUGGCGGCAGGCCUAACACAUGCAAGUCGAGCGGUAGAGAGGUGCUUGCAUCUCUUGAGAGCGGCGGACGGGUGAGUAAUGCCUAGGAAUCUGCCUAGUGGUGGGGGAUAACGUUCGGAAACGGACGCUAAUACCGCAUACGUCCUACGGGAGAAAGCGGGGGACCUUCGGGCCUCGCGCCAUUAGAUGAGCCUAGGUCGGAUUAGCUAGUUGGUGAGGUAAUGGCUCACCAAGGCGAGAUCCGUAACUGGUCUGAGAGGAUGAUCGAUCACACGUAGAAC